UACAGAGGUCUCAAGCGUUGUUCGGAUUCAUUGGGCGUAAAGGGUGCGUAGGCGGCGCGGUAAGUCGGGUGUGAAAUCUCGGGGCUUAACUCCGAAACUGCAUUCGAUACUGCCGUGCUUGAGGACUGGAGAGGAGACUGGAAUUCCCGGUGUAGCAGUGAAAUGCGUAGAUAUCGGGAGGAAUACCGAUGGCGAAGGCAGGUCUCUGGGCUGACACUGACGCUCAUGCACGAAAGCGUGGGGAGCAAACAGG
rnacentral:rRNA from 1 species